rnacentral:misc_RNA from 1 species
AGCGUUUCGCUCGCCUCACUCUCGGAGCCUCUUCCCUCUCCUUUCAGGUCGACACAGACCCCACCCCCUUCAAGAUGUCCACGACGUCCGUCUUCGAGACGAAGCUGAGGGUGUACACAGCACUGCCCAGUGAGAAGUUGGUCCGCCUACAACGCUCAGGCGCCUCUUGCAAGACGGGGAUCCAAUGUGGACGAGGGCUGCGCGCGACUGAUGGAAGAGCAUGCGGCACCGCGCGUGGUGGCAUGCCGUGCUUUCCUGCGCGCACGGAAUCCGCACGUACAGAAGCUGAGGGGUAAGAGCCUUGACGCGGAGCCGGCUAACGAGGUCAUGGUCGUAUGUGAGGAGAGUCUGAAGCGCGUCUUGAAAAGACCAGGCGCAGCGAGCGACUCUCUUGCUUGAAGAGGCGCCUCUCGCGUCGAUCAUCUACGGGAGAGAGGAUUUGCGCGUGGACGGCAUCAUGCUGCUCCAGACUCUUCUAGCCAGCAACCUCACCCCAGAGUCUUGUGUCCCACAACUGAGACACGCCCCUGGGGAUGAGCCCUGCCGAUCACACAAGGCCUUUCGGGCCUCACAUCAACAGCCUUCCGGUCACCCUCUACACCACACAAGCGCAUUAUGGACAUGUCGGCCUACAACGGCCAGAUGCCUCAUGAAUUGCAGAGCCCGGGGGUAUGGUUCCGCGGUGGUGGUGACUCGAAGAAGCUCGAUGCGUCUCGGCCGCGCAAUGGGCCGAUGCAGCGAGGACUCUUUCGUCUCGGGCACAUGAAUGCAGGGUUUUGGCUCGAUCGCGCAGCCACAUCAUCCUGCAACAUACGCGCGCGCCUGUCCUGCUCCAGCAGCCGGGUUUGGUGGAGCGGUCGCUGGCUGAUCAAGGCUUGCCCGCGUCAUCCGCGCCGCCUGCGCCCCCUCGAUGCAGCGAAAAAGCCGCGCAGAGUGGCGGCCGGGGCUCGCCAGCGGUGACCUCGGGUAAGGCCAGACCCCGAACGUCGAGCUCGACUCGACCUUGCGGGGCACGCAUGCCUCAGAACCACGUUGGUGCCUCGCGGCGCGCCGCCGAUGCUGCCGUCGUAUGCGUCAGCGGCCCAAAUAACAGCGAGAGUGUCGCUGUAUGGACGCGUUUUUUUUCCCACGUUCCCACGCAGUCAUCGGAUGCCUGGGCCACUGCUCACCCGAGGGUGGGGAGCAGCUGAGCCUGAGUUCGAAGAACUCGGCAUCAUUGAGGCACGCGCACACAGAUUUGCGCCACAUUUUCAGUUUCUCCUCGCCCGAAAUUAUCACCACAAAGGGCCGUAGCGCGCUACAGGCGCGGGGAAGACAAGAGUGCACUUUGCCCACGCUGAAGCAACUCUGUGCUGGCUGCUUUUAUGGAUUGAAUCGCUGGAUCCAAAGAGCACCCCGAGAGAACCACGGGCGUUUAUGGCUGGGCCGCCGGCGUCACGGAUGCCUGUGAGCACGCUCUAUGGGCAGCUCGCAGCCGUACUGGCCAACGCCGUGGUGGAAGCAUCGACGGGGGGGGGCAGCGCAAAAGGGUGGCGGCAGGCAUGGUGAGAAACACGCGCCGUUUGUUGCGGGCAUGACCGCCAAAUAUGAAAGGCGGCAUUUCGGAGCCUGUGCCGUCUGCCGGCGGCCACGGCGCCGAUGCGCAUUGCCAAGCGAAACGACUGGAAGAUGAGUCAGGACGCCGCUUCCAACCGACUGGCCGAAGCAGGGCUCCACCCAAGACGUCGCGUGGCGGGGCUGGGGCGCUUUUUGGGGGAAUCUCCGUAGCCUGCGCGUGGGCUUACGCGGGGGAGUUCCAACCCCAGACCCGCCAUACUUAGCGAGCGGGCCCAGCCGCCCCUCCCCGCCCCCUCCCCCCCUCUGCGCGGAGGAGCCUCGACAUCCGCUCACCACGCGGGCCCGAGGGACGACCCCUUCUAGCGGGCGGGCGAAGCACAUGCCACCGCACAGCGGCGCGGAGGGCUGAGCAGCAGCGGGCCUCCGCAUGGCCGGGAGGGGCGCGCAGCACCGGUGAGACCCAAAAGCGCAAUAAGAAGCGGUGGCGAAUCACCCCCUGAAGGAACCGAACGGGCGAAGUGGCCUCCACGCGGCAAGGCCCGAAUCCCACCCGCGGCCCAUUCGCACGCGCCAAACACACCCUCCCUCGUGCCAAGUCUGUGGCUUUCUCCGCCGUUGCGGGGGGGUCGUAGGCCGGCGGCCCCCCCCCGAUGGUGCCCCGCGGCGCACCCGAAAGAAGCAACGGCACCAAGGGCUGGGAGUGUGACGUUGCGAGGAGCAGCGGAUGGUUCUGCCCCCGCAGCCCCUUUAGCGCGCAACAGAAAGGCACACGCCACAUGGCCACCCAAGAUCUCGACAGCACAAAAGAAAAAGCGCGGCGGGCUUCUUCGGAGAUGGAGGACAAACCGUGGGGGUGGCGAACGCGCCUUUCAUGCCUCUGGCAUUCGGGAGGCUUUUUGUGCGAAGCGAUGCAGGAGUCGGGGCAGCGGCGCGGACUUGCCUCAGCGAGAAAAGGUGCUGCAAGGCGCAUGGCAGACGGCGCACUCUCAGCGGACCAGCCGACGUGCAGGACGGGUCCUACGUAACGCUGCGGCGGUGCCUGGUGUAUUGACCGCCAUCUUACGAUGAAGGACGUGGCCACGCGGGAUGUCGUCGCCGCGGUCCUCCACGGGAGGAGAGGAGGCUACGAGCAAGUGCCCCAGAACAGCAGGACCUCGCGAUUAGUGAAACGUUGCUGCGCCUUUUUCGUGAAAAAGGAGGGAAAGUUCCACUGGUGCCGCCGCGAGUGGAGGAAUGCCCCCCCCCCACCUGCGCCCCCCCUCCCCCAAAAAAAGGCGACAAGGUUGUGCGAUGAAGAGAGAAUUGUGAGGAUGGAAGCGCGGCAUCAUAACUCCGAAAGGUUCUGCAACUGCGCUUAGCGCCCCAUGCUUCGAUAGGCCUUGGCCGCUCUGCGAGCUUCACGCACCUUCAGAAAACUGCAGGAAGGCAGGCGCAUAUCUCACUAGAGUCAUGCAGAUGGGCAGGCUGGAACCCGCGCAAAAGGAUGAAAUUAUGCGCGAGUAAUCUCUUGGGCGUGACGCGCACGGCGCGCAUACGUUUGCGGCCGAGGAAAAGGAAGGCGGACACAGACGCAUAACAGAGUUGAACUUUGAGCGCUGUCUGCACCAGCGAGUGCUGCCCCCCGCCUGACCUGCCCGACUCGGAAAGAAAGCGGGCAUAUCUUGAACAGGCGCAAGUGGCGUUUGCGCGCUGGAUUUCGAUGCGUAUUAUGACGCUGUCCUCUUACCUGGGAAUAGGAGAGCGAAGUGCAUUGUCCGGAGGAGUGGUGAAUACGACCGACUGCGCACAACUCCAACAAGGGGAAGAUGGGGCGUGACGGUGAGCCAGUCGAUUACACGGGUGUGGGGUGAUAUCGAUAUUUUGCGCAGCAUCAUACCAUGUCUUGACAGCAUCGUGAUUGCAUCGCCGCCAGCUAGGCAGGCCGAGCUUCUCGACAUGGUAGGCAAGGGGCUACUACGUAUUGGCGUAGUUAAUCUGCUCACCGCCCCAAAUCGCGAACCACCUCUAGAGGCAGAUGAUACCGGGCUGCUGCGCAUCGGAAAUAAAGGUGGAACUCUCCUUGGGGAGGACUAUGACUGGACGUGGAUCGGAUAGGAUGGUUCGCAGCUCCGUAUGACCCAUAGCGAAGCUGCAGCUUUCAAUGGAAAAGUACUCCGUUACCAGGUACUCUUUUGUUUCCUUAUUUUUAUUGAGGUAGCCAUUGCUACUGACCUCCUUCCCAUUGUACCUGCAUUGAUAACGUACAAGGGUUUCUGAGGUAUUCCGCGCGUUUUGGAGUUGGUGGCUCUAUUCAGACUCACCAACGACCCUUUUCAGCAACGUGGAAGCAAGGUAGUGCACUUCUAUAUUCUCGAGCGCCCUCAAUCCAGUCGGCACGUUUUCGAGGAAACGUGGGGCUCGGACAGGCGACACUCUGGACGUGGGAAGGAGCUUGACACGGUACUGACAGUGUUGAAAGCAAAAGUUGUUCUCAUCUCUGAAUGUAAAGAAGGCAGAUGGAAAGCACUGUGCUGAUAGAUUGAUGGCUCGCUCAUGGUCUCGUGGGAAAUCGCGCGUUUCGUCGAUACGUGAUGCAUUCGAAGCAACACGUUGCGUCAGCAAGUGAACUCGCAGCUAAUCCACUGUUGCCUUUUCCUCUCUUCAG